rnacentral:tRNA from 1 species
GCCAGUGUAGCUCAGCUGGUAGAGCACUCCCUUCGUAAGGGAUAGGUCGUCGGUUCGACUCCGAUCACUGGCUCCA